rnacentral:rRNA from 1 species
UGGGGAAUAUUGCGCAAUGGGGGAAACCCUGACGCAGCGACGCCGCGUGAGCGAAGAAGGCCUUAGGGUUGUAAAGCUCUGUUCUAUGGGACGAAGUCCUUGACUGUAAAUAAUGGUCAAGGUUGACGGUACCAUAGGAGGAAGCCCCGGCUAACUACGUGCCAGCAGCCGCGGUAAGACGUAGGGGGCGAGCGUUGUCCGGAAUUACUGGGCGUAAAGAGCACGUAGGCGGGACCUUAAGUCAGGUGUGAAAGACCGGGGCCUAACCCCGGGGUGGCACUUGAAACUGGGGUUCUUGAGGGCAGGAGAGGACAGUAGAAUUCCUGGUGUAGCGGUGAAAUGCGUAGAAAUCAGGAGGAAUACCAGUGGCGAAGGCGACUGUCUGGACUGACCCUGACGCUGAGGUGCGAAAGCGUGGGUAGCAAACAGG